UACGGAGGGCUCAAGCGUUGUUCGGAUUCAUUGGGCGUAAAGGGUGCGUAGGUGGCGGGUUAAGUCAGGGGUGAAAUCUCGGAGCUCAACUCCGAAACUGCACUUGAUACUGCCUUGCUUGAGUACUGGAGAGGAGAUUGGAAUUUACGGUGUAGCAGUGAAAUGCGUAGAUAUCGUAAGGAAGACCAGUGGCGAAGGCGAAUCUCUGGACAGUUACUGACGCUGAGGCACGAAGGCCAGGGGAGCAAACGGG
rnacentral:rRNA from 1 species